UACGAAGGGUGCAAGCGUUACUCGGAAUUACUGGGCGUAAAGCGUGCGUAGGUGGUGAGUUAAGUCUGUCGUGAAAGCCCCGGGCUCAACCUGGGAAUGGCGAUGGAUACUGGCUCGCUAGAGUGCGGUAGAGGAGAGUGGAAUCCCGGUGUAGCAGUGAAAUGCGUAGAGAUCGGGAGGAACACCAGUGGCGAAGGCGGCUACCUGGACCAGCACUGAGCACUGAGGCACG
rnacentral:rRNA from 1 species